rnacentral:rRNA from 1 species
CCUACGGGUGGCAGCAGUGGGGAAUAUUGGACAAUGGGGGCAACCCUGAUCCAGCCAUGCCGCGUGUGUGAAGAAGGCCCUCGGGUUGUAAAGCACUUUCAGUGAGGAAGAACGCCUGGUGGUUAAUACCCAUCAGGAAAGACAUCACUCACAGAAGAAGCACCGGCUAACUCCGUGCCAGCAGCCGCGGUAAUACGGAGGGUGCGAGCGUUAAUCGGAAUUACUGGGCGUAAAGCGCGCGUAGGUGGCUUGAUAAGCCGGUUGUGAAAGCCCCGGGCUCAACCUGGGAACGGCAUCCGGAACUAUCAAGCUAGAGUGCAGGAGAGGAAGGUAGAAUUCCCGGUGUAGCGGUGAAAUGCGUAGAGAUCGGGAGGAAUACCAGUGGCGAAGGCGGCCUUCUGGACUGACACUGACACUGAGGUGCGAAAGCGUGGGUAGCAAACAGGAUUAGAUACCCGAGUAGUC